rnacentral:sRNA from 1 species
UUAUGGCACUAGGAACAAAAUCCUAGGGCCUUCUGCAUGUUAGGCAAAUGUUUUACCACUAAGCCAUACCCAA